GAUGAACGCUGGCGGCGUGCUUAACACAUGCAAGUCGAACGGAAAGGCUCCUGCUUGCAGGGGUACUCGAGUGGCGAACGGGUGAGUAACACGUGGGUGAUCUGCCCUGCACUUCGGGAUAAGCCUGGGAAACUGGGUCUAAUACCGGAUAGGACGAUGGUUUGGAUGCCAUUGUGGAAAGUUUUUUCGGUGUGGGAUGAGCUCGCGGCCUAUCAGCUUGUUGGUGGGGUAAUGGCCUACCAAGGCGUCGACGGGUAGCCGGCCUGAGAGGGUGUACGGCCACAUUGGGACUGAGAUACGGCCCAGACUCCUACGGGAGGCAACAGUGGGGAAUAUUGCACAAUGGGCGCAAGCCUGAUGCAGCGACGCCGCGUGGGGGAUGACGGCCUUCGGGUUGUAAACUCCUUUCGCUAGGGACGAAGCGCAAGUGACGGUACCUGGAGAAGAAGCACCGGCUAACUACGUG
rnacentral:rRNA from 1 species